rnacentral:lncRNA from 1 species
GGAUGCUUUUAAUUAAUCAUUUUAUUUAAAUCAGUAAUUAAUAAUGCAUGAACAUAAAAAUAUGAAUAGAUAAAUUAGCAAUUAAAGACACUACAUAUUUUCCAGCUCUAUGUGUAAGUGAUAAAGAAGGAGUUGUUUCUCUCUGAAAUGGAUCUCCUGGAUUUGAGAGCAGUAAUGUCUCAUAUGUGACAGUUUGUCUGUUUUAUUGUAGGACAGUAAUUUAGAUGACAGUCCAUUUUCUCAGAAUCAUCCAAGGAUGAAAGAAAGAGACACCAGAUUCACACAAUCAACAGACUGAAAACACAGUGAUGCACUCACAUACUGUCUCUCUCAAACACCAUCACUGUGAGCAAAAUAGUUUUGAUCCGUCACGCACUGUUGCUAUCUUUCAUGCACAGUUUUGGUUUCUCUUGCGCACUGUCGCAAUUUUUUUGCGCACAGUUUUGGUCUCUCUCAAACACUGUUGCUCUUUCACACACGGUCUCUUUUGCGCACUGUCGCUCUCUUUCGGAAACGCUCCAUCUCUCUGGUCAGGUCAUACCGGUGUAAGGAUAUACAAGGAAAUGCAGACUUUUAGUAUUUAAAGUAAUCUACAGUUUUGGUCUCUCGCACGUAUUGUCACUCUUUCAAGCGUACUGUCGCUCUCUCGCGCACUGUCCACUCUCAUUUGCACGCACACUGUCUCUCUCACACACCAUUACUGUGCUCGAAAUAGUUUCGGUCUCUUUUGCGCAGUUUUGUUCUCUGUCAUGCACUGUCACUCUCUUUCGUGCACAAUUUCUGUCUCUCUGGCGCGCUGUCGCUAUCUUUCGUGCACAAUUUCUGUCUCUCUCGCGCACUGUCGCUAUCUUUCGUGCACAAUUUCUGUCUCUCUCGGCGCACUGUCACUCUUCUCGUGCACAAUUUCUGUCUCUCUCGCGCACUGUCGCUAUCUUUCGUGCACAAUUUCUGUCUCUCUCGCGCACUGUCGCUAUCUUUCGUGCACAAUUUCUGUCUCUCUCGCGCACUGUCGCUAUCUUUCGUGCACAAUUUCUGUCUCUCUCGCGCACUGUCGCUAUCUUUCUACAAUAAUUAUGUCUCUUCUCGCGCACUGUCGCUAUCUUUCGUGCACAAUUUCUGUCUCUCUCGCGCACUGUCAUUCUCUUUCGUGCACAAUUUCUGUCUCUCUCGCGCACUGUCGCUAUCUUUCGUGCACAAUUUCUGUCUCUCUCGCGCACUGUCGCUAUCUUUCGUGCACAAUUUCUGUCGCUCUCGAUUACUGUCAUUCUCUUUUGUGCACAAUUUCUGUCUCUCUCACGCACUGUCGCUAUCUUUCGUGCACAAUUUCUGUCUCUCUCACGCACUGUCGCUAUCUUUCGUGCACAAUUUCUGUCGCUCUCGCGCACUGUCAUUCUCUUUUGUGCACAAUUUCUGUCUCUCUCGCGCACUGUCGCUAUCUUUCAUGCAAAGUUUCAAUCUUUCUCAUGCAGUCACGAUCUUUCGCGCAUAGUUUUGGUCUUUCUUGCAUACUUUCCCUCUCUCUGUCUGCAUUCACUUCACUUUUAUUCAGCCCGGUGCCUCACACCAAAGUUCAAAUGGCAGCGCAGCGCGAGCUUACUAGAGCAGAUCCAUUUACUCACUGA